GUCAGUAUGUCUGUUUGUGUAUGUAUGUCAGUAUGUCUGUGUGUGUCUAUACACACACAGACAUGCUGACAUACACAGACAUACUG